ensembl:lncRNA
AAAGCUGUAUUAAGGAGCCAUCUCCAACCAGAAAUCCUUCCCCAGUAGCAGUCAGCCUUUAAAUGGGGUCUGAGUGAGGUGCAGCCAGGCUCCACACCUUCCUGUCCCACAGCUGAACUGUCUCCACCUGUGCUCCCAGGGCUGACCAGUCCUUUCCCUGGGUGCUCAAGCAGUGGUUCAGGCCAUGACUCAACAGUUCCCAUACACAUGUAUUUUAAUGCUAAGGCUCAGGAUCACAAGAAAUGUCACAAUGAAUACACAGCAAUAAUUUCAUAGGCAGUCAGAUCCUAGUUUUGAUCAGAGAUGCAGUUGUUCUGUAUUUCACAGGAGAUAUUCAGCAUUAUGCAAAGCCUUCAGAAGGCAGAAGUGAGAGGAAAAGGAGCGCUGUUCUGAUAAAUCAACCACAGUGCUGAAAAGAAGCAAAAAUCAGAUGGACUUAUCCCUCUGAUUCUCCUUCUGUAUCUUACAACAUAUCCUGGAAGAGAUAGUAUAAAUGGCAACACAGCUCCCUUCCAACAAGGAAGCAUUAUCAAAGCUGGGCUUUUCUGUCCCAAGGACAGCUGUGAUUCCUGCAGGUGAGAUCAGGGCCUGAACAAAGUUUCUCUGCUACUUCGAAAGGCCUCAUCCAAAAUGAAUUAAUAUUUUACCUUGGUUAAGGACAUUAGUCUUAUUCAGAUACUGCUACAGAUCUCUGGUUCCCAGAAAUAAUUAUAUUCACAUGAACAUUCUUAGCUGGGGAGCACAGAAAGUUAUCAUUCCGGGCUGAAGGACUGAGAAACUGAAAUUGUAUAGACUGUUCUCUCCUUGACAUUACUAAGAUUCUAUUUAUACUAUUUUGAGCCUAAACUUUAGGCCUAUUUCUAUAGCAGCCAUUUACCUGUGAUUCACUGCCUUCUGCUGUUCGAAGGCACUCUUUUUUUGUUUAUGCUUGUCAGGAUCCAUGAUGUCUGCACUCAGCUCAGGCAGCUUGUGAUACUUUAUAGGAGUGCCAGUGACUGUGGGGCACAUGAGAGCAGAAACCUGCACAUUAAUCUCUCUACAGAUCUAUUAGAUGUACCUAAACUGUGGAAUUACAGAAAUAAAGGAGAACCUCUUAGACAAGACAUCCCUCCUUUCCCUACUGGAUGGUAGGGCUGAUGAAAUGUAACAGCAGUAUGACUGCACAGCCACAUCACUAUUGUGACUGUAGAGAGAGCUGAUCACAUCAGAAAACAACAGAAAUGCCAUGAUAUCAUAAUUUGCUGCAGAAUGCAAACAGAUCACAAUAUAAAAUAUGGCUCUUGGUUGUAAACAGCAUUCCCAAGAGAUUCUCAUUGCUCCAGUACAGCAUCAUGCUUCAGUAUUCUCUUUAAGGUUUCACUCCCGGUUUGCAUGCCUCCAUUUCAUUUCCUUUGGCAGAAAGCCAGCUGGAGGAGCCUCCCUGCACUGCAGAGAAAAGCUGCAGCUCUGGAAAGCUACCAUGUCAAAAAUAAGCAGCAAGUAUUGGAUUGACUCAUCUGAAAACAGAAGGCUGGUAUAAAAAUCUCUGGAAUCACAUAUCUUCAUGUUUGCCCUUCAUGAUCCUGCUUUCAAGUCUUACUUUCAAGAUGGAAUUUAUCAUAUUCUGGGUGUUUAUAUGCAGGUCUUUCUCUUUAUUUGCAUAUUUACCUGCUUCCAUCCUGUGAGACAAUGAAAUUAACACUGCUGAGCAAAUUACAGCACAUAGAAAAUAAAUGGUUCCAUUUUGAU